UGUCCCCUGAGUGGUAGGUACGAACAGUUAACUGGGUUUGCCAGGUUUAAUAAAAGAUCAGGGAGAGGCAGCAAGUUAAUGGGUUAAUUGCCACUGUCCUCCAGGAGAACAAACGGAUGCCGGGUCCAGUCCUUCCCCCUGAGGCCGCAGAGAUGCCAGUGUUUCAGCCCGCAGGAGCCGGGCAGCCCAGUGCAGGGCACUUCUCCAGAGGCCAGCACGUUUUAAACCAUGUCCCCUGCUGCCGCCUCCGGCUGUCUGAACACAGGCUGCGCCAACCUGUGGCUGGGCCCGGGCCCAGGGCCUGCUGCGGGAGGGGAGGUAGCCAGGGCAUCUGAGGGUGACCCCAGCCCAGAGGGCCCCCCCUUCGAAGGGAGGAAGCAGCAGUGACCACACCCUGCACUUGGUCGCCUGCAGGCCUCGCCAGCACCCUGGGGCCGGCCUAGAAAGGCAGCCCCUGCCUCCCUGCUGGGGUUGAAGGGACAGGAGGACCUCCCCAGCCCAGGGCUCUGGACCACAGCCAGGGGUAUAAGGGCAGGGAAUUCUGGCUGGACAAAGGCAAAAAGUGGGGUGAGGGAGGAUACAGGAAAGAAACACCAGGGAAGACGGUCAGGUCCCAGCUCAGCUUCCUUUGAGGAUUAAAGGAUUUUAAAGCAUUUAUGUUUAUUGGAAUUUCAAACC
rnacentral:lncRNA from 1 species